rnacentral:rRNA from 1 species
AUGGGCCGCGGGAGGACGGAGAUGAAGAGGAUCCACAACGACGUGUCGCGCCGGGCCACCUUCGGCAAGCGCCGCCGCGGCCUGCUGAAGAAGGCGCGUGAGCUCGCCGUGCUCUGCGGCGUCGAUCUCGGCCUCCUCGUCUUCGACGAUGACGGCGCCGGCAAGCUGUUCGACUACUGCAGCCCCAACACAAGCUGGAGCGAGCUAAUCGAGCGCUACGAGAGCAUCACCAACCACAAGUUCCAGUUCCAGGGGAUAAAUCAUGUUGAUGAUCAGCAGCAACCGUUGGCGGAUAUCAUCGCAGGGCUGAGGCGUGAGCAUGACCGUCUGGAGGUCAGCGUGAGGAGGCAGACCGGAGAAGACCUGCCAUCCGCCGCGACGGCGGCGGAACUCGAUGAUCUGGAGCAGCGACUGGAGCGCGUGCUGGGUGAAGUUCGUGAAAUGAAGGACAAGCCGCUGGAGCAACAGUUGGACGAAUCAUACCACAAGGUGCACACCUUGGAGGACCAGAACAGCUUCCUUCGCCGCCUGAUGGGCGAGGAGGGGCAGCAGCGUGCUGCUGUGGAGGCGUCAGCUGUGGCGCCGAAGCUACCGGCGACGGCGUUCGGGGGAUCCUUCCCGGAGGUGGAGGAGGAGGAAUUGACAGCGCUACGGCUGUGGCCGCGGCAGCUCCCCGACGUGUAA